GGGGGACUAGUAUAAGGGUAGAAUAUUUAUUUUGCAAAUAAAAGGUAUCAGGUUCAAGUCCUGUGUUCUCCA
rnacentral:tRNA from 1 species